AUUGAACGCUGGCGGAAUGCUUUACACAUGCAAGUCGAACGGCAGCACGGACUUCGGUCUGGUGGCGAGUGGCGAACGGGUGAGUAAUGUAUCGGAACGUGCCCAGUCGUGGGGGAUAACGUAGUGAAAAUUACGCUAAUACCGCAUACGAUCUAUGGAUGAAAGCGGGGGAUCGCAAGACCUCGCGCGAGUGGAGCGGCCGAUAUCAGAUUAGGUAGUGGGUGGGGUAAAGGCCCCACAAGCCAACGAUCUGUAGCUGGUCUGAGAGGACGACCAGCCACACUGGAACUGAGACACGGUCCAAACUCCUACGGGAGGCAGCAGUGGGGAAUUUUGGACAAUGGGCGAAAGCCUGAUCCAGCCAUUCCGCGUGCAGGAUGAAGGCCCUCGGGUUGUAAACUGCUUUUGUACAGAACGAAAAGGUUUCUACUAAUAAUAGGAGCUCAUGACGGUACUGUAAGAAUAAGCACCGGCUAACUACGUGCCAGCAGCCGCAGUAA
rnacentral:rRNA from 1 species